rnacentral:rRNA from 1 species
UGGGGAAUAUUGCACAAUGGGCGCAAGCCUGAUGCAGCCAUGCCGCGUGUGUGAAGAAGGCCUUCGGGUUGUAAAGCACUUUCAGCGAGGAGGAAGGUGGUGAACUUAAUACGUCAUCAAUUGACGUUACUCGCAGAAGAAGCACCGGCUAACUCCGUGCCAGCAGCCGCGGUAAUACGGAGGGUGCAAGCGUUAAUCGGAAUUACUGGGCGUAAAGCGCACGCAGGCGGUUUGUUAAGUCAGAUGUGAAAUCCCCGGGCUCAACCUGGGAACUGCAUUUGAAACUGGCAAGCUAGAGUCUCGUAGAGGGGGAUNUAAUGAUCCAGGUGUAGCGGUGAAAUGCGUAGAGAUCUGGAGGAAUACCGGUGGCGAAGGCGGCCCCCCUGGACGAAGACUGACGCUCAGGUGCGAAAGGCGUGGGGCAGCAAACAGGAUUAGAUACCCUGGUAGUCCACGCUGUAAACGAUGUCGAUUUU